rnacentral:rRNA from 1 species
AACGCUGGCGGCAGGCCUAACACAUGCAAGUCGAGCGGUACACAGAGAGCUUGCUCUCGGGUGACGAGCGGCGGACGGGUGAGUAAUGUCUGGGAAACUGCCUGAUGGAGGGGGAUAACUACUGGAAACGGUAGCUAAUACCGCAUAACGUCGCAAGACCAAAGUGGGGGACCUUCGGGCCUCAUGCCAUCAGAUGUGCCCAGAUGGGAUUAGCUAGUAGGUGGGGUAAUGGCUCACCUAGGCGACGAUCCCUAGCUGGUCUGAGAGGAUGACCAGCCACACUGGAACUGGGACACGGUCCAGACUCCUACGGGAGGCAGCAGUGGGGAAUAUUGCACAAUGGGCGCAAGCCUGAUGCAGCCAUGCCGCGUGUGUGAAGAAGGCCUUCGGGUUGUAAAGCACUUUCAGCGGGGAGGAAGGCGAUAAGGUUAAUAACCUUGUCGAUUGACGUUACCCGCAGAAGAAGCACCGGCUAACUCCGUGCCAGCAGCCGCGGUAAUACGGAGGGUGCAAGCGUUAAUCGGAAUUACUGGGCGUAAAGCGCACGCAGGCGGUCUGUCAAGUCGGAUGUGAAAUCCCGGGGCUCAACCUGGGAACUGCAUUCGAAACUGGCAGGCUAGAGUCUUGUAGAG